rnacentral:rRNA from 1 species
UACAGAGGUCCCAAGCGUUACUGAGAAUCACUGGGUUUAAAGGGUGCGUAGGUGGCGGGGUAAGUCAGGUGUGAAAUCUCGGGGCUCAACCCCGAAACUGCACUUGAUACUGCCUUGCUCGAGUACUGGAGAGGAGAUUGGAAUUUACGGUGUAGCAGUGAAAUGCGUAGAUAUCGUAAGGAAGACCAGUGGCGAAGGCGAAUCUCUGGACAGUUACUGACACUGAGGCACGAAGGCCAGGGGAGCAAACGGG